UACGAAGGGGGCUAGCGUUGCUCGGAAUCACUGGGCGUAAAGCGCACGUAGGCGGCUUUCUAAGUCAGGGGUGAAAUCCUGGAGCUCAACUCCAAAACUGCCUUUGAUACUGGAGAGCUUGAGUCCGGAAGAGGUGAGUGGAACUCCGAGUGUAGAGGUGAAAUUCGUAGAUAUUCGGAAGAACACCAGUGGCGAAGGCGGCUCACUGGUCCGGUACUGACGCUGAGGUGCGAAAGCGUGGGGAGCAAACAGG
rnacentral:rRNA from 1 species